AACGAACGCUGGCGGCAUGCCUAACACAUGCCAGUCGAACGAGACCUUCGGGUCUAGUGGCGCACGGGUGCGUAACGCGUGGGAACCUGCCCUUAGGUUCGGAAUAACUCCCCGAAAGGGGUGCUAAUACCGGAUAAUGUCUUCGGACCAAAGAUUUAUCGCCUUUGGAUGGGCCCGCGUUGGAUUAGCUAGUUGGUAGGGUAAAAGCCUACCAAGGCGACGAUCCAUAGCUGGUCUGAGAGGAUGAUCAGCCACACUGGGACUGAGACACGGCCCAGAAUCCUACGGGAGGCAGCAGUGGGGAAUAUUGGACAAUGGGCGAAAGCCUGAUCCAGCAAUGCCGCGUGAGUGAUGAAGGCCUUAGGGUUGUAAAGCUCUUUUACCCGGGAUGAUAAUGACAGUACCGGGAGAAUAAGCUCCGGCUAACUCCGUG
rnacentral:rRNA from 1 species